rnacentral:rRNA from 1 species
UACGUAGGGGGCAAGCGUUGUCCGGAUUUAUUGGGCGUAAAGAGCGUGUAGGCGGCCAGAAAAGUCCGCUGUGAAAACUCGAGGCUCAACUUCGAGCUGUCGGUGGAAACUUUCUGGCUAGAGUCCGGAAGAGGAGAAUGGAAUUCCUGGUGUAGCGGUGAAAUGCGCAGAUAUCAGGAAGAACACCCGUGGCGAAGGCGGUUCUCUGGGACGGUACUGACGCUGAGACGCGAAAGCGUGGGGGAGCGAACAGG